rfam:Selaginella moellendorffii unplaced genomic scaffold SELMOscaffold_59, whole genome shotgun sequence.
GCUUCCAUAGCACAGUGGUAGUGCGCUCGCUUAGUAAGCGAAAGGUCACGAGUUCAAAUCUCGUUGGAAGCU